UAGCCCUACGGGGGGCAGCAGUGGGGAAUAUUGCACAAUGGGGGAAACCCUGAUGCAGCGACGCCGCGUGAGCGAUGAAGUAUUUCGGUAUGUAAAGCUCUAUCAGCAGGGAAGAAGAUGACGGUACCUGACCAAGAAGCCCCGGCUAACUACGUGCCAGCAGCCGCGGUAAUACGUAGGGGGCAAGCGUUAUCCGGAUUUACUGGGUGUAAAGGGAGCGUAGACGGCGAUGCAAGCCAGAUGUGAAAGCCCGGGGCACAACCCCGGGACGGCAUUUG
rnacentral:rRNA from 1 species